GGAUAGCUCAGUCGGUAGAGCAUGAGACUUAAUCUCAGAAUUGUGGGUUUGAGCCCUAUGUUGGACA
rnacentral:tRNA from 1 species